rnacentral:rRNA from 1 species
AGCCGACCUUGAAAUACCACCCUUUAAUGUUUGAUGUUCUAACGUGGAUCCGUAAUCCGGGUUGCGGACAGUGUCUGGUGGGUAGUUUGACUGGGGCGGUCUCCUCCUAAAGAGUAACGGAGGAGCACGAAGGUUGGCUAAUCCUGGUCGGACAUCAGGAGGUUAGUGCAAUGGCAUAAGCCAGCUUGACUGCGAGCGUGACGGCGCGAGCAGGUGCGAAAGCAGGUCAUAGUGAUCCGGUGGUUCUGAAUGGAAGGGCCAUCGCUCAACGGAUAAAAGGUACUCCGGGGAUAACAGGCUGAUACCGCCCAAGAGUUCAUAUCGACGGCGGUGUUUGGCACCUCGAUGUCGGCUCAUCACAUCCUGGGGCUGAAGUAGGUCCCAAGGGUAUGGCUGUUCGCCAUUUAAAGUGGUACGCGAGCUGGGUUUAGAACGUCGUGAGACAGUUCGGUCCCUAUCUGCCGUGGGCGCUGGAGAACUGAGGGGGGCUGCUCCUAGUACGAGAGGACCGGAGUGGACGCAUCACUGGUGUUCGGGUUGUCAUGCCAAUGGCACUGCCCGGUAGCUAAAUGCGGAAGAGAUAAGUGCUGAAAGCAUCUAAGCACGAAACUUGCCCCGAGAUGAGUUCUCCCUGAGACUUAGAGUCUCCUGAAGGAACGUUGAAGACGACGACGUUGAUAGGCCGGGUGUGUAAGCGCAGCGAUGCGUUGAGCUAACCGGUACUAAUGAACCGUGAGGCUUAACCUU